rnacentral:sRNA from 1 species
AUCAACAGUGGUGCUGUAUACAUGUAUAUGAUUAAUUUACUUAUCAUUUCAUCAGUAGAUGCAAUAACCCUCUUUAAAGAAAGAUAACUCUAAUUGAUCAAUUAUAAAUUUCUGUAAACGUUUACCCAACAUAGUUAUGAUGGGCAUUUUAAUCAUAAUUCCAUCUCCUCUUUCAAAAGCAUCAAUGAUAUACAAAACUUAAUAGAGGUAUGUUACGUAUUUUUUACCAACAAUGUAAAUUUACACUUAAAAUGUUGUAAUGUUAGUUAAUUUUGUACUAUAUCUUUUUCUAUCUCAAUAUUUUUGUUGUAAAUGAAGUCCCAGGGGUUGUUUAUGAAAGAACAAUAUAAAAUCUAUUCAAAAUAUUCACAUGCUUAUUUUGUAACUUAGAAAUUUACAUAUAUGUCUACUGUAUACAGGGAAAUAUUAGCCCUUUUAUUUUCGCCCCUUUCGCCCUUGGUGUCAGCGGCCGAAUUGAAGACUGAGCGAAUACCAAUGUUUCAAUUUAUCACCUAUUAAACACAACUUUGUAAGGGCGAACUCAAGACGGGGCGAAACCGUUUGCAAGUGAAGAAGGGCGAAAAUAACAUGGGGCAAAAAUUACUUUGUAUACAAUAUUGAGUCCCAAGUCCGAAAUUAUUCAGGGAUUUUUAAAUGCAUGUAUAUGUAAAUUAUUGAUGGGCUUUUUCUGCUAUGUUAAUAUUUUUUUUCAAUUAUUUAAAAUUUAUUCUUCUUUUGUACAAUUAUUUUUUGUAAUGAUAUCUUUUUCUUUAUAUAAAAAGUUGAUGUGAUGUAGUUUUUUGUUUACAUUUACAUCUACACCUACUAUAUUGUUGGGAUUUUUUAGCAUUUUUUUUAAUAAAACCUUUUCAUAUUUCUUUUUUGUUUGUAAAAGUAUGUAUUUUGUGGAUGAUAUAAUCUUUUUUGAUACAGGGUACAUGUCUACUUUUUUACUAAAAUUUCCGUGUUUUAAACAGUGCAUUCAUCAGCAAGUGAGACAAGCUUGGAUAAAGUCGGCUAGACAUUUAUGACUUUAUAUUACACUUGGCCUUCAAUGGUCACUUAUGACCUCAACUCAUUUGACUUUGAUUGGUCACAUGUCUAUGUAACAUGUUACGGUUGAUCACUUAAGACUGUUACACUUAGUUUUGAUUGGUAACUAAUCAAGACCUGAAGAAGGAACUGGUUGUCAAGAGCAAAAAAAACAGCAACCAUAUUGUCCUUGUGAUAAAUUAAAACAUUUUAUAUUAUGAUUUAAUACAUGUAGCAAUUAAGACUUCAUUUUGAUUGGUAACACAACAUUUUGAUUGUAUUAACUUGCUACUGUAACAAAAGGUUUUGUUUAGUUACUUUUGGUUGGGUAUGUUCUUUUGAUCCUUAAACACUGUUUAAGAACGCUAUUGUCAACAAAUCAUCCAUCAGAUCUGCCUAUAAAAUGACCACGACCAUCAAGCAUUCUUACACGAUUACCUGUUCUAAAAUUUAAAUUUCUGUAAUCACACUAACUUGUAAUUUUGGAGAUAUUUUUACACUUUUCUAUUGCAGUGGCACAGUUAAAAUAUACUUAUAGACCACUAUUUACCAUUAGCUUUGAUGAAUUUCAAUCCAUGUACAUGCAUAGUGCAAUACUUGUCAUGAGAUGUUCUACGUGUAUCUAUUAUUAGUACAUGUAUUUUGAAGUCAUUUUUUCACAAUUUUUAAUAAAAUUUUCUCGGUGUAUAAAUAU